rnacentral:lncRNA from 1 species
CUGUACAGAACACGUGCGGUGGAGAGUAAGUCCUCAGGGACCACGCCAGAGUGGAUAUGGAGCUGGAACCUGACCUUCAUGCCGAUAAUACAAGACAUUUGCAUUUGCUAUACAGCAGGUGCAAAUGGCAGACAGAAUCCGUAACAACAGAUUUGAAAACAUGGCGGAAUGUGGGAUUACCAUGCAGGAUGUCCUUGAUGAACGGUAAUGGGAUUUCGUGGACUAGAAUGGGACAUAUUUACAGCCAGGUAAAAAAAGGUAAUGUUUAUUAACCAAUCCUAUCUCAGUUUCCUCGGAAAUGUAUUAAACAUUACCUCAGUGUCACACACGGACAUUACCACUGACCACCGCUUACAAAGUACAGGUCGUUUGCCGUCGUCUGGUGUAUUACCUAAUGUAUAAACAGAGUUCAGAUUGCCCGGGGCAAACUUUCAUUUGAUGUAGGACGUGUAUUGUCUAGUCGUAUAUACCUGUGCUUAGAUUGGACGUGUCAACACCGUACAAUGGAUAAGGUAUCGUUUCGCUCUCUGCAGCAGGUAACAAAUGGUGGGAAGAUUCCGUUGAAAUAUUUAAUAAUAGGACAGCAUUUUUCUUCAACGGAUUUAAGACUCGAAACAGUUUGUGCUACGCAGUAUUUGCCUGUGUGAAUCAACAUUUGACACAAAAAACGCUGAAGUUAAAGGGUUGUAACAUUGGUUUGUGAAUUGCUGAUAUUAUUGGGCUACAUUUCUUUCUGGAUACCACUAGCACGAAUGUGGGGAUACAUUUACGAUGGAAAUUGUAUUAUAAUAAUCUGGUAUUUGGAAUGAAUUGCAAAUAGUUGUCUAAAAAAUUCUAUUUAAACGAGUAUUUUAUGUUAUAGUGAUAAACUGGAAUUCUGAAUUGGGAAAAUAAUGAUUUUUUUGUCGGAAUUACUACCAUCAAAUACAUGUUUUGAGACAGGAUAUGUUACGGAUAUACUUAUAGCAGUAUGGCAGACAUCAGCUCCUGUUCACCCGCCAUGACAAUUUUGGUGGAUAAAAAACAGCAGACAUGUACAAAAAGGCGCGAGGAUUUUCGGAGACCCAGACCACGUGCCGAUCUCACAGAAAUUCAAUGCAACAUAACACAGGAUGUGACGUUAUGAUGAUGACUGACUACAUUCUUCAGGGUUUUGACUGGUAUAUCGAACUUGUAGUCUUACAGAGCACUAAAGUAAAAGGGAAAUGUAUAGAAGCAAUUAGUUUGCCCAUUCAAUGAUGAUUAAAUGAAGUUAGGACCUUAAUAUAUUCGUUAUUAAUCAUGUCAAUUUACAAAACUUUUUUUUUUAAAGGAAUCGGUUUCUUAAAUUAACAUCAGCUUUGAGAUGAAUGUUUAGACGUCAUUUCAUAUAACUCUAUGUCAAAUUAACAGAUAUGUUUAAAAUAAAACCACAGACAAUGUUAAUCAUUAUUUCAAAUCUACCAUUUAGGUUAUUAGACAUGGUCACUUCCGUGAAAAUAUUCAUUUAACAUUUCCUAAAACUAUGUUUACAGUUAUACAUCCUGCAGUCUAUCAGGCAUGUGUAACACCACACAGUUACCAUAGUGUUGGUAGAUCAGACUCAGUUCUUUAAAUAGAAAAGGUCUCAAUUGACUUAUCUAGUUGUAAAGGCAUCGAAACUCGUUUUUAUAUAAAAACCUAUUUGUUCUGAUAUUUGUUAUGUUGUCUCUUAGCUUUCUGUAGUCUUUUAUAUUAAUUUCUCUUUGUCAUUAUAUUUGUUUUGUUGUAUCUUUGCUAUCUGUUGUGUCUUUGAUAUUAAUAUAUAUUUGUCAUUAUAU